AGGAGAAUGGCAGAAUUCGUACAGCAUACUUUUUUUGGUGUUCCCUGAUAAAAUUUGUACCACUUAUUGAGGCAACUAAACCAUUCAUUUUUCUGUAAAAAUAAUAUUUUUAGAAGCUGGGGUUUAGCAAAUAUAUCAAUUGAAAGAUUUUAGUAACGAAACGUAAUAUAAUGAAACAAAACGUAGAAGACAUGUUUAGUUAGUUGCCAUUAAUAAAAUAUCAGAAAGUACGAAAUGAUAAAUAAAUAUUUUGAAAUAGAAAUAACAGUAAAUAUAAUUAACCAAUUACACGUUAUACCUUAGAAUAUAUAAUUAAUGCAUAUAUAUGCAUAGAAUCUUUAUAUUUAUAGGAAUUAUUUUUGCCAUCAAUAUUUUUUUUUGUAAUGGCAAUUAUUUAUUGACAGGUUUGUAAAAUCUCUAAUCUGUCAAAGUCUGUCCGUGUUUUUGCCGUUGUUUUGUUUUGGAUUGUAGUUUGUAACUUCAUCUAAACAAUUUAGCAAUUAUCUGGCCAUUUUUACGUUGAGUUGAGCAACUUCUUCUCCGUUCUUUAUCUGUUGAUACUACUUUCGCGAAAGGACGCUUUAUUAAUUGUGUUGUGUGUACGUGUUUUAUUGAAAAUGACGAGUUUGCAAUGCAUCAAUUGCAAUGUUCGCUUGUCCCGAAGAAGAAGACACGCUAUAUCCAAUGACGGUGAAGAUAUCGUCAACACUAUUCGUCUGUGGACAUAUCUUAGAGAUAUUACACCAGAUGACCAUGUUUACCAUGAAUGCUGGCAGCUAGCUAGUCAUUCAUGUUCUUCUGAUAAUAUGCCGAGAAGACACAUAGGCCAUCAGUGUUUGUGUUGUAUGUGGACAACCCAUACUAAGAAUCAGGCAAUGCAGAAUUUUGAUUGAAGAAGAACAAAGAAUGGCGUACACAAUUGCUACUUGGAUCUAACCACGACAGGUAUAAAUAAGAACAUGUAUUAUAACUUUUAUCAAUUCGGUAUUUUAUUUAUUUGAAAUAAACUAAGAAAUAAAACAAUGUAAAUAUUUUCCACUAAUAGCAUGUAUGUUUAAAUGAAAGCUUUUCUUUAUUUAUAUUAUUUAUUUUAGCUUCAUCCUGAAGAUAAAGCUUGUGUGCGGUGUUGGUUAAGAGUGAGAACUAAGGAUACUUCACUAAAUGAAGAUAUUCAAUCCGUUGAACCUAAUCAGCAGAAAAGUGAUAAUUCUGAACUGAUGUGUGCUGCAUGUGGUCAAAGUCUUACUCCCAACAACACUGCUUGUUUGUUGGAGCACCAGCAGACACCUUCCAUUAAUGAAGUUUGUGAAGUUUGCUGAGGCCAAGUAUGCAAUUUGAACUUCUAUGUUCCAGAUGGUCUAUGUUGCUUCAAGCUAAAAUAAAGUCCUGCCACUCUUCUCCUAGAACUUAUUUUGUUUUCAUAGUUGCAGAAACAAAUAUGAAUAGCCGGGACAUAAUCAAAAGUGAUUGCUGUAAUUGUAUUGUAGGUUUAAGAACAUUGGGAUGCUGCUCACAUGUUAUGAGCAUUCUUUGGUAUUUGAGUUAUGCUUGCCAUGAGGGUAUGGGGUAACCCGACCUGCCCCUUUCUUGGAUGAAGUAAUAUUAAGAACCAAUCAAGUAAUUAUAAGAAAAUAAAGUAAAUGAAAUUCCUACAAAAACUAAGUUGUUUUAUUUACCUACACCGAAAACUUCAUCAGCUCUUAAUCAUUGUCAAACUAUUGUAGACCGCUGCUGGACAGGUCACUCCUUAAGCACCCUACUGAAUGGGUAAAUUCUCAUGUCAAUUUAUCAACUUCCUAUAUUCUUUUUCAUUAAAACAAUGUUUAUGUGCUUCGUGCUUACACAUGAUAAAGAACAAAGGGUAAUGUUGGGACCACCUCUCAAUAGUAAUGAGACACCCUUCUAUAGAUAAAUAUUCUCAAACUGAAUAAACUUACUAAAGUACUACAAUUAAGCUUAAGCAAUAAGUUGGUAAACGAGCA